AAGUCCUAGAACAACAGUGAAGCCAUUGUCAGCUAGGGGACCAAAGUCAGAAUGAGGCAGCGUCAGCCUUAGCAACCAACCAUGGGAGGCAUCGUGCUGGGGAAGACUGAUAAACAGGGCACAUGCCUGGGACAGGCUGUGACCUCUCUAACACCAGCUUCUGGCUGAGGACAUGCCUCAGUGGGAAGGAUAUGUUUCCAGUGUGUACGAAGCUCUGGGUUCUAUGCCCUGCACUGGAUCCAGCUAUGGAGACUCCCAGCACUUGGGGAGGCAGAGUAUCAUCUUUAGCUACAAGAUGAGUUUGAGGCUAGCCUGGACUAGUAAAAAAAUGACACACGUGUGUGUAGACACAUGUCCAUACAUGCAUGCACACCCUCAUUCCCCGUGAGGACCAUUUUCAGACUCAUUACCACCAGCUUUGACCCUUGCUCUUGGAUUCUCCAACCAUUAUAUGUAGUUCAUGCCUGCACUAAUCCAUGGGUAGCAUAGUCCUGUGGGUCUGGAUCCUGUUGCUAAGGGCAACAGCAUGACUGUGCAGACUUACUUUCUUGACCGGAACUGCUCUGUCUGAACUAAUGGGCCCUGUUCUCUGUGCAUAGAGAGCUCGUACAUGACAGCUGCCCAUCCAUCAGGACGGCUGUCAAAGAUAAGAACCAGCAGUUGAGAGACAUGCAGGCAUUUGGAAAAUCUUAUAGUGUGUUCUUGCUCGUUAAGGCAAGCACCCUUACAUAAGUCCUCAGGAGCAAAUGGGUACCUUCCACAGCUGAUAGAAACUGUAAUGAAGAGAGCUUCAAUUCAUCACCCAUGAAGGGUCCUAGGUGGCAAGGCAGCAGGAGAGGUAUGGCAGUGAUUAUACUCCUCUCCCUGCUGUGACAAAGUAGAUGACGGAGGCAACUUAAGGGAGGCUGGGCUUGUUGUGGCUCAGCCUAAUGGUACGGUCCCCAUGGUGGGCGGGGCAGCUGACUGCUUUGUGCUCAUGGUCAUGGGGUGAGGGUAAAGAAUGCUUUUACUCGGUUUGCCUUCUCCCUCUCCUCUUAUCCAGCUCAUGGACUAGUGCCCAACAUUCUGAACGGCUCUUCCCUCAACACCCUCACCAACACACCCGGAGGGGUGUUUCCAUGGUGACUGCAGUUCCUGAUUAGAGUAACCUUCACAACAGGCAAUCUACAAGGCCAUCUAGAUCAGACUGCAAAGGAGCCAGAAGGCAAGUGAGAAUUCUUCUGCUUCUUGAAUUUGGUGAAGCCCAACCUUGGUGCCUUUAAUAUCCCUAAAGGGCCCAUGUGUUGAAAGCUUUGUCCCCAAUGAGGCAUUCUGGGAUAUGCUGGGACUUUUGGGAGGUAGGGGCUUAGAGUCUUUAGGACGUUAGGAGCUUGGCUUUGAUGGGAUGUAGGAGACACUUCCUGUUUCUUCCUAGCUAUGCGCCAACCAGUUUGUUUUUGUUUGUUUGUUGUUAUUGUUGUUUAGAUUUACCUCUGUGUGUGUGUGUGUGUGUGUGUGUGUGUGUGUGUGUGUGUGUGUACUCGCGUGCUCGAGCCUAUGGGGUCCAGAAGAGGGCACUAGAUUCACUGGAAUUAUAGGCAAUUAUAAGCUGUCUGGUGUGGAUUUUAGAAAUUGGACUUGGAUCUUCUGUAAGAACAAGUGCUCUUAACCACCAGGUCUUCUCUGAGUACCCUAACUGAGACGUUUUGCUUUGUAUCAUGUCCAGCCAUGAUGUAGGGCUUCCCCAGAAACCCACAGCAGUGGGGCCUACUCAUGGAUAGAAACCUUAAACGGAGCUGAAAGACAGCAUCCCUAGUCUGAGUUCGCCAUCUCGGGCAUGCGCUAUGGCUGCGGGGAGCAGGCCAGCAUCUUACAUCAGGCUGAGCAGAUGGAAAGCCCAGAAGGCUCCAAGUUCAGACUCUUGUCUUUUACAGCUUCUCCCUCCUCUGACAGUCCCUGCUUGUAUCUUUGUACCUGUUAAGGCCAAGAGAAAUGAAGACAACCGACCUUGAUCAAUGUCUGUGUAUGAAAGGCAGUAUAAAAGAAAGCAUUGAAUGGAUUCAAAGACCAUAUAGUACUACGUGCAACUUACUCAUCUGUUGAGACUUGGCGUGAUCAACUUGUAUGCAAAAGCCAGGCAUGGAAAGGACACCUGUGAGAACCUGAAAGCUCCCUUGAACCCUCAAGAGUUACCUGGCCCCUGGUUCUAGAGCUGAUUGAACCUUACCCCUUUGUGAUGGUUAGCUUUGUCACUCUGACACAACCUAGAAUCCCCUGGGAAGAAAGUCUCAGUGAAAGACUGUGUAGCUCAGGUUGGCCCGUGGGGGAUGAUCUUUAUGAUGUUAACUCAUGUGAAAGACCCAUCCACUAUGGGUGGUAUCAUUCCCUGGGCAGGGCAUGGAGAACUGUGUGAAUGUGAAGAAAGAGGGCUGAGCACAAGCAAGCAUUCAUUACUUGUUGUUCUCUGUUAACCAUGAAUGUAGCUGCUUCAAGUUCCUGCUACCUUGACUUCCUCAGUGUGGACCAUAACCUAAAAUUGUGAUCCAAAUAAACAUUAUUCUCC